rnacentral:rRNA from 1 species
CUGGACGGUCAAAGCGGCCUGGAGAUACCCGAUCCCAUUUCGAACUCGGAAGUCAAGCAGGCCUACGUUCCUGGUUGUACUGUGCUCAAACACGGGAACCCGGGAAAGCUGUCCGCC